rnacentral:rRNA from 1 species
AAACUUAAAUGAAUUGACGGGGGCCCGCACAAGCGGUGGAGUAUGUGGUUUAAUUCGAUGAUACGCGAGAAACCUUACCUGGUCUUGACAUGUUGGGAACCCUUAAGAGAUUAGGGGGUGCCUGCUUGCAGGAGCCCAAACACAGGUGGUGCAUGGUUGUCGUCAGCUCGUGUCGUGAGAUGUUGGGUUAAGUCCCGCAACGAGCGCAACCCUUGUUGCUAGUUACCAGCACGUAAUGGUGGGAACUCUAGCGAGACUGCCGGUGACAAACCGGAGGAAGGUGGGGAUGACGUCAAAUCAUCACGCCCCUUACGACCAGGGCCACACACGUACUACAAUGCCCGGUACAACGAGUUGCCAAGCUGCGAAGCUGAGCUAAUCUCUUAAACCGGGCCAAGUUCGGAUUGGAGGCUGCAAUUCGCCUCCAUGAAGCUGGAAUCGCUAGUAAACGCAGAUCAUCAUGCUGCGUUGAAUACGUUCUCGGGCCUUGUACACACCGCCCGUCACACCAUGGAAGCCAGUAAUACCCGAAGCCGGUGAGCUAACUUAACGGAGGCAGCUGUCGAAGGUAGGAUUGGUGACUGGGGUGAAGUCGUAACAAGGUAGCCGUAGGAGAACCUGCGGCUGGAUCACCUCCUUUAUG